rnacentral:tRNA from 1 species
GCCUUCGUGGUACAGUGGUCAACACACUCGUCGUGUAAUCGAGAGGUCCGUCGUUCGAAUCCCAGCGAGGGCA